GAUGAACGCUGGCGGUAUGCUUAACACAUGCAAGUCGAACGGUCACUUCGGCGAUAGUGGCGGACGGGUGAGUAACGCGUGAGAAUCUGUCUUCAGGUCGGGGACAACAGUUAGAAAUGACUGCUAAUACCGGAUGUGCCGAAAGGUGAAAGAUUUAUUGCCUGAAAAAGAGCUCGCGUCCGAUUAGCUAGUAGGUGGUGUAAGAGACUACCUAGGCGACGAUCUGUAGCUGGUCUGAGAGGACGAUCAGCCACACUGGAACUGAGACACGGUCCAGACUCCUACGGGAGGCAGCAGUGGGGGAAUUUUCCGCAAUGGGCGAAAGCCUGACGGAGCAAUACCGCGUGAGGGACGAAGGCUUUUUAGGGUCGUAAAACCUCUUUUAUUAGGGAAGAUUUCAGGACGGUACCUAAUGAAUAAGCAUCGGCUAACUCUGUGCCAGCAGCCGCGGUAAU
rnacentral:rRNA from 1 species